rnacentral:rRNA from 1 species
CCUUACACGACCGUACCGCAAACCGACACUGGUGCGCGAGAUGAGUAUUCUCAGGCGCUUGAGAGAACUCGGGAGAAGGAACUCGGCAAAUUGACACCGUAACUUCGGAAGAAGGUGUGCCUUUAGUAGGUGAAGUCCCUCGCGGAUGGAGCCCAAUGAGGUUGCAAAGAAUCGGUGGCUGCGACUGUUUAAUAAAAACACAGCACUCUGCAAACACGAAAGUGGACGUAUAGGGUGUGACGCCUGCCCGGUGCUGGAAGAUUAAGUGAUGGGGUGCAAGCUCUUGAUCGAAGUCCCAGUAAACGGCGGCCGUAACGAUAACGGUCCUAAGGUAGCGAAAUUCCUUGUCGGGUAAGUUCCGACCUGCACGAAUGGCGUAACGAUGGCCACACUGUCUCCUCCCGAGACUCAGCGAAGUUGAAAUGUUUGUGAUGAUGCAAUCUCCCCGCGGAAAGACGGAAAGACCCCAUGAACCUUUACUGUAGCUUUGUAUUGGACUUUGAACGGAUCUGUGUAGGAUAGGUGGGAGGCUUUGAAGCCGGGUCGCUAGAUCUGGUGGAGCCAACGUUGAAAUACCACCCUGGUGCGUUUGAGGUUCUAACCUAGGCCCGUAAUCCGGGCCGGGGACAGUGCAUGGUAGGCAGUUUGACUGGGGCGGUCUCCUCCCAAAGCGUAACGGAGGAGUUCGAAGGUACGCUAGUUACGGUCGGACAUCGUGACGAUAGUGCAAUGGCAUAAGCGUGCUUAACUGCGAGACUGACAAGUCGAGCAGAUGCGAAAGCAGGACAUAGUGAUCCGGUGGUUCUGUAUGGAAGGGCCAUCGCUCAACGGAUAAAAGGUACUCUGGGGAUAACAGGCUGAUACCGCCCAAGAGUUCAUAUCGACGGCGGUGUUUGGCACCUCGAUGUCGGCUCAUCUCAUCCUGGGGCUGUAGCCGGUCCCAAGGGUAUGGCUGUUCGCCAUUUAAAGAGGUACGUGAGCUGGGUUUAAAACGUCGUGAGACAGUUUGGUCCCUAUCUUCCGUGGGCGCUGCAGAUUUGAGGAAGCCUGCUCCUAGUACGAGAGGACCGGAGUGGACGCACCUCUGGUGUACCUGUUGUCACGCCAGUGGCAUUGCAGGGUAGCUAAGUGCGGAAGAGAUAACCGCUGAAAGCAUCUAAGCGGGAAACUCGUUUCAAGAUGAGAUCUGCCGGGGCCUUGAGCCCCCUGAAGAGUCGUUCUAGACCAGGACGUUGAUAGGUCAGGUGUGGAAGCGCAGUAAUGCGUUAAGCUAACUGAUACUAAUUGCUCGUGCGGCUUGAUC